UACAGAGGUCCCGAGCGUUGUUCGGAUUCACUGGGCGUAAAGGGUGCGUAGGUGGUGAGGUAAGUCGGAUGUGAAAUCUCCGGGCUCAACCCGGAAAUGGCAUUGGAAACUACCUUGCUGGAGGAUUUGAGGGGGGAUUGGAAUACUUGGUGUAGCAGUGAAAUGCGUAGAUAUCAAGUGGAACACCAGUGGCGAAGGCGAAUCCUGGAAAAUACCUGACACUGAGGCACGAAAGCUAGGGGAGCAAACAGG
rnacentral:rRNA from 1 species